rnacentral:rRNA from 1 species
UACGUGGGGUCCGAGCGUUGUCCGGAAUUACUGGGCGUAAAGAGCUCGUAGGUGGUUUGUCACGUUGUUCGUGAAAACUCACAGCUCAACUGUGGGCGUGCGGGCGAUACGGGCAGACUAGAGUACUGCAGGGGAGACUGGAAUUCCUGGUGUAGCGGUGGAAUGCGCAGAUAUCAGGAAGAACACCCGUGGCGAAGGCGGUUCUCUGGGACGGUACUGACGCUGAGACGCGAAAGCGUGGGGAGCGAACAGG